rnacentral:rRNA from 1 species
CAGUCGCCACGGUAAUACGGAGGGUGCAAGCGUUAAUCGGAAUUACUGGGCGUAAAGCGCACGCAGGCGGUUUGUUAAGUCAGAUGUGAAAUCCCCGAGCUUAACUUGGGAACUGCAUUUGAAACUGGCAAGCUAGAGUCUUGUAGAGGGGGGUAGAAUUCCAGGUGUAGCGGUGAAAUGCGUAGAGAUCUGGAGGAAUACCGGUGGCGAAGGCGGCCCCCUGGACAAAGACUGACGCUCAGGUGCGAAAGCGUGGGGAGCAAACAGGAUUAGAUACCCCGGUAGUCCCUGUCUCUUAUAC